rnacentral:tRNA from 1 species
GCCCUGAUGGCGGAAUUGGUAGACGCGCUGGACUCAAAAUCCAGUGCCCUUUAAAGGCGUGCCGGUUCGACCCCGGCUUGGGGCA